GCCCGGCGCCCUGACGCGUCCCAGUAAUCCCAGAUACUCCGCAGGCUCAGUUGCAAGGAUCGCUUCAGCCCCGGAGUUCUGGGUUGUAGUGCGCCACGCCUAGUGGGUGUCCGCUGUAAGUUCGGCAUCAGUAUGGUGACCUCCCAGGAGCUGAGGACUACCAGAUUGCCUGAGGACGGGUGAACCGACCCACCUCGGAAACCGAGCAGGUCAAAACACCGGUGCUGAUCAGUAUCUGGAUCGCGCCUGUCAAUAGGCACUGCUCUCCAGCCUCGGCAACAUAGCCAGACCCUGUCUCU
rnacentral:SRP_RNA from 1 species